rnacentral:misc_RNA from 1 species
AAUGGCUGAAAAAUAAUUUCACCUGGAACAAUGGAUAUAAAAAUUGAGAAUAUGCAUAGAAAAUAAGAAAAAUAAGAGAAUAACAAUUGAAUGGAAAGACCAAAGUGAGAACAAAGAAAAGAUCAAGGUACAUGUGCGUGUCUACGAGAGAGAGAAAGAGAGAGAACUUGCGGAAAACAAAUACACCCAUGUAUUUGAAGAAUAAUACAAUUAAUUAUUAAAGUUUAAUGAAUUUAUGAGAAUGCAGAAUUAAAUUUUUGAAAAGUGUUAGUUUCCAACUGGUUGUUUAUUUCCUGCUUUGUUUCUCUUUCUUGCUUCCUCCCAAAAGGCUCCCUCAAUUAUUUAGGUUACUGUUCACUGCACAGCCAAUAUAAGAAAAAAAAUCUUUCUUGCUGACUCAUUUAUAUCCUAAAAUCUAAACCAUACGAUAUCAAUGUAGCUCUGAAAUGCUAAACCUUACAAACUUGUUAACUUGUUCCAGAACUUACACCAUUAAAGAAUUGUAAGGUUAAAAUGGCCAAUAUCUGCUACCGUCCAGAAUCUCUGGCAACUCCAAAUUUCACAUCCAGACCAGUCAAAACCAUAAUGAUCUUUAUGAUUAAGAGUUUUAGUGGUUAUAACUGGAGGCAACUUUCUGUACAAACCAAGGUAAUCAUGAACCUUGAUCAUUGAGAUAUGGCCUGUCAUAUCAGGAGCAACCCAGCAAGUAUUAUCCAGUAUUUCAUCCACAAAUCUUAUUAAGGCAGUCAACCUAACCUACAAAAAUAAAGGAUGGAAGAAGGCAAACCUAAAUUAUCCCAUGCAAAAUUCCGAUACCAAUAACAUCAAUAGCCUAACAGCCUACCUCAAUUUCCAGGAAGCCUUUUCUCAAGAGGCUUUAUUUUUUAUAUAUAUUUUUCCAGCUCAAAACCACAACAAUUUAUCACAUUCAGAAUCAAUGAAAGCUUCAUCAUUCUUAUUCAAGAUGUAAGAAUACCCUCUUGAUUUCCUCAUUUCAAAAAGAUAACUAAUAAUCACGAUAAUAUGAUUAGAGUAGAUAUAUUGGCCCUAACCAUAAAUUAGUAAUUAAUAAAUUAUCCACAGAUAAUACUUUCAGAAAGCUUUCUCAGGUACAAAAGGUUCCAUUAUCAACACCUACAUAACUCUAUUCAUUCCUCAAUUUAUCACUCAUUAUAAAUGUAUCUACUAUCUAAUCAUGUGUAAUUUAUAGGGGAAUGAUGUAUGCUAAUUCAUUAAAGGAUGGGCUAUCUUAAGUGAAAACUCUACAAAUGUAUGACUCUCAAUUGAUACAAGUAACAAAAAAUAGUGAGAGCAUAAAAAAAAGCUGCCCUUCUUGGUUUAACAAAUUCAAUAAAAUAAAGCACUGUAUAUGAAUUUAGAGUUAAUGUUGCCUUCCUUUGAAUGAUUGUGUACUGUGAGAUCAAUAUAACAAGAAAGGAAAAAUUAGUAGAAGCAACUUUGCAAUUGCCAUUGGAUUUUGAUUCAAGUGGUAAAUGGGGUGAGGAUAGAUUAAUUUGAGCAGAUCCUAGGUGAGAUCAUUACCAAGAAAGUAAAUAUUCAAAUGAAAUAACAUUUACAAUUAAAACAUUUUAUGUGAUUAAAAAUACAUACAGAAAGAAAUCACAACUAAAAAUGAGAUUUGAAGAAAGUACCUCCAAAUCAAGCUCCCUUUAA